rnacentral:rRNA from 1 species
AGCGGCGGGCGGGUGAGUAACGCGUGGGUAACCUACCUCAUACAGGGGGAUAACAGUUGGAAACGGCUGCUAAUACCGCAUAAGCGCACAGUACCGCAUGGUACCGUGUGAAAAACUCCGGUGGUAUGAGAUGGACCCGCGUCUGAUUAGCUAGUUGGUGGGGUAACGGCCUACCAAGGCGACGAUCAGUAGCCGACCUGAGAGGGUGACCGGCCACAUUGGGACUGAGACACGGCCCAA